CUUGUAUUCACAUAUAAAUUGAUUGUUUUGUUUGUUUGGUUUGGUUUUGGUUUUUCAAGAUGGGAUUGGGGCUUCUCAGUGUAGCUUUGCCUGUCCUGGAACUCACUUUCUAGCACAGGCUGGCCUCAAAACUCACAGAGAUCCAACUGCCUCUGCCUCUGGAGUGCUGGAACCACCACCAGGUGUCUCAGAAGCUUGUUCUUCCAGCAGACAGAUACCAGGCGCACCUUUCCCUGAGUUCUAACAGCUGAAGAAAUCGCCACUUCCUGCUGAUUACUCUCUAGAGAAGACAGACAGCAAAGAAACGCAAAACCCACCCCAGGUUGAAACCUACUAGUCUGGUAUUUUUGCAACAACAGCCUGUGAUACCUGCCCUGUCCUUAUUUCUACUCUAAUUGCACUCUGGGACCUUCAUCGCUUUGUUCAUCUAAAUUAUAGCAACAGCAGCCUAAUUGGCCUUCCUGCGUUCAGUCCUCCCUCCAUGCCGCAGCUGCAAGUGUGAUCUUAUAUCAGCAGCCUAAUUAUGGCACUCUUCAUAGGCUUGCAAUUGCUCUCUGUUGACUACAGAAUAAAAUUCGAAUUGCAUAUUUCCUACAGAA